rnacentral:rRNA from 1 species
UGGCGGACGGGUGAGUAAUGUCUGGGAAACUGCCUGAUGGAGGGGGAUAACUACUGGAAACGGUAGCUAAUACCGCAUAACGUCGCAAGACCAAAGAGGGGGACCUUCGGGCCUCUUACCAUCGGAUGUGCCCAGAUGGGAUUAGCUAGUAGGUGGGGUAACGGCUCACCUAGGCGACGAUCCCUAGCUGGUCUGAGAGGAUGACCAGCCACACUGGAACUGAGACACGGUCCAG